UAAAUACUCCCUCCGUCCCAAAAUAAGUGACUCAACUUUGUACUAGCUUUGGUACUAAAGCUAGUACAAAGUUGAGUCACUUAUUUUGGGACGGAGGGAGUAGUAU
rfam:Triticum aestivum genome assembly, contig: Triticum_aestivum_CS42_TGACv1_scaffold_375935_5AL